rnacentral:rRNA from 1 species
UGGGGAAUUUUGGACAAUGGGGGAAACCCUGAUCCAGCCAUCCCGCGUGUGCGAUGAAGGCCUUCGGGUUGUAAAGCACUUUUGGCAGGAAAGAAACGUCAUGGGUUAAUACCCCGUGAAACUGACGGUACCUGCAGAAUAAGCACCGGCUAACUACGUGCCAGCAGCCGCGGUAAUACGUAGGGUGCAAGCGUUAAUCGGAAUUACUGGGCGUAAAGCGUGCGCAGGCGGUUCGGAAAGAAAGAUGUGAAAUCCCAGAGCUCAACUUUGGAACUGCAUUUUUAACUACCGGGCUAGAGUGUGUCAGAGGGAGGUGGAAUGCCGCGUGUAGCAGUGAAAUGCGUAGAUAUGCGGAGGAACACCGAUGGCGAAGGCAGCCUCCUGGGAUAACACUGACGCUCAGGCACGAAAGCGUGGGGAGCAAACAGG